AGCCAUAUGUUGUGUAUGUUAAAUUAAUCAAAGGGAAACAUGUCACUUCUACCAUGAAUAAUUAUGUUUUGUGAUUGGGCAUAAUGAAGUUAUGUAACUUUAGCAUGAUGCCCAAUAACCAACGACUUCCCAAAUCCAGUAAUGUUGUCACAACCUAAUUCCUUUGGAUAAGAUGACCAAUGGCUUUUACAACGCCAGAACAGAUGGUGGCAGUAGUGUGCGGAUUGUGUGUGGCAGCCGGAAACAACGAGCUUGCCGAGUUCUUUGAAUGAAUACAUAUCCGCGGACACUCUGAAGGCGGGUAAGUCAAAAAAGUAAACCACUGUAGGGCUGUUUGCAUUUAUCAUGACUUUCCUAGAAUCACAUUUAUAUCACCCGUUUCGUUAGUGUACUUAGUUUUGGCAUCAAGGCAUACGUUUUAUGAGCAAGAGAGUAAGCUUAGCUGGCUAAUUCUCACCAAUUCAAACUGGUUAGCGGCUAAUUAUCGAUAUAGUCUCCUUGUUGUAACUAUUGUUGGGAGUUUGGAAGCUGUCACCCAUGUUGUACUGUAUGCAUGUUUGCAUGUGUGACAUUAUUUUCGGUUACUUUGCGAGUUAUAGCGAAAGAAACUACCUGGCAGCCCAUAACGGGCAGCUAGCUAAUUUAUGCUAGGUGACAACAGCUGGUUCAUUAACGUUGUAUUAGUUCUAUGCAUUGACGUUGCGAGACCCGUGUGCGUCUGAUUUCAAAUGUAUCCAGGACAGUCGUAGAUACCAUCAGUAGCUCUACACACAUCAAUGACACAGGGGAAGUAAAGUUACCGCUGAUUUUUGGUAUUGCUCCGUCUGACUGUGUGUGUACGGCCACAGUAAAUGUUGAUUAGCCGGUGGAACUUUUCGGUUUGAAAAAAGACAGAAGGGGCUGUGUGUGCUUGUGUAUGGGUGCGCGUUUGAAUGGGUGCGUCGUGUGUAGAACUAGAUGCUGCAGUUUGCAGCUGGUUUGAUUCAUGUCGUGGGUCACUUACCAAUGUAUGUAGGCCUAAUUGGCUAUGACCUUUGAAAUAGUUGAAAGUAAAUCCCAGUAGUAUCUAGUGAAACACACAUGCAAACGCCCUUCUGUCCCUCAUUCCCUCAAACUCGAUCUUCUACAUUUGUUGUGUAAAAAGGACAUAGCAAGUUUUUUGUAUCAAUGAUCACUUUAGGAUAUUCCAGUGCAUUUACAUUCAAUAUAUACUGUACCUUGAGUGAGGUAGAAAUGCAUAUUGUUGCAAAUAUAAAUACUGUUAAUUUGUUAUUUUUUGUAAUUAAUCAUUUACUGAAUUUCUUUGUAGAAUAUGUUACUAUUAUUUGGGUUUUUGUUCUCUGCAUAACUGUCUCUUUCACCUAUAUUAAUUCCUCAGCAUUCAAGAUGUUUGUAGGGUCCUCACCUCAGCUACCUCUCACAAGGUGCCCCUGAAAAAGAAAUUCAAGACGUUUGGGUCCUCAGCUCAACUGACCAAGACCUUUGCUCAUUGAAGGCAUGAAGUAAUUUGUGAUGCCCCCACGAUUGCAGUUUUUAAAUCCAGAUGGCUUGCUCUUUUUAACAUGUGCGAGAGCUGGAUGGUCUUUCAACAACACUGCUCCGGGUCUUCAGCAAGAAAGGUGCUUCUCAUGCAAGGAAGAUACAGAGGAUCCUGGUGCCCAUGACUCAGACUGACAACAUUGAUGUGAAGAGGGAGUGCAUGCUGAGGAGCUGACGGUCUACCUGAAUGAAGAGCCAGACAAAGUGGAUGUUGAUCUGGACGGUCCAGCUGAAACGUAUUGUCUUCGUGUGCGUGUGAUCGGCAGAGAGUCCUCAACGACAUUGGUAACGUACCUGUGGCCAUUGCAGUGUUUGUUUUGGUUUAUGCUCUUAAUCUCUGUUAUCUUCCAGAAUGGAAGUACACUUUCAAAUUUCUGUUUCAUUCUAACCGUCUGUUUCAUCAGUUUUUGCACUGCUUUUAAAUGUACACUGUGUAAGAUUCUUAGUUGUUUAUUUCCAGAAUUCAUGCUACCCAUUCACUAAUGUUACCUUUUUCAUGAAUACUUAGCACCACCAUUAGGGUGCAUCAGU